rnacentral:lncRNA from 1 species
UGAGCUUUUAACCAUGCCGUCCUACACGCCUCAGUCCUCCUCCUCCUGCUGCUACCCUCAGAAGAGGGACUUCGGCACCCUCCUCGACGCCGCCCGCCCCUUCCUCCGUGAGCAGCUCGAGUUGGUCGACCCCGCCCUCCCCUCCCUCAUCACCGUCCUCCGCUCUGUUGGCGCCGGGGAGUGCUUCCACAAGCAUGGCUCUUUCCUCUCCCACCUCACUGAUGUCUACCGCAUCCUCAAGCUGUGGUGCGCC